UGCAGAUUGAAUUUGAAGUGUUUUCGCCUUUUGGGUUAUUAUUACAAAACCAGUGACGAGAUGGAUGAUGACAUUGACCAAGACGUCCCUCAGUUAUUAAAGCAGUGGGGUUUACCCCAAUAUAUUCAUACUUUUCAAGCCGUUGAAAAAUCUACUCUUAAAAUCGAAUGAAGGACAAGGCCUGCUAAAUUUAUAUUCAGAACAAGGCAAAUUAUCAAAUAAUGGGCGAAGAAAAGUUUGCAAUAUAAUAAUAAAAGACCUAAUGCAAUCAGACCCAAAUAAAAGAAUAGACAGUUCUCUACUUCUUACAAAAGCACAAGAAAUAACUGAAGUAUUCAAAAAGGAAAAUAUAAGUACUUACUUUAUUCCAUACAUUAAUGAUACUAAACUUAAAAUAAAAAGAUGUGCAAAAGGCAAAUUAUAUGACUGUCUACAAAACAGGCGCCGCGAAUUAAGGGAGGCUAAGGUUAUUAAAAAGAAAAAUGGCAGCAACAUCAACAAUAACAGCAACGAGCCAGAAGUCGUCGAAGAAGAUGGUGGUGCAGAUGAAGAUAUCCAGUGGCUCCAAAACUGUACAGAACCCUGGCAUUUAGUGAUAGAGAAGUGGCAAAAAACUUCCAAAAAUAGAUUGAAGGAAAUAGAGACUUCAGAAAUGACCAUCGGAGCAUACAUUAAUAAAUAUCCAGUGUUAAAACGCCACGCGGGCAUGAGCUUCUUAUUGAAGAUUUAAGAAGGGCCCUAUUAGAGCCUGUUCACACUAGCAUUAAUAUCGCCACGAGCACGCGGCGAGCAAGCUGCGAUAUCACACACAUAUAAAGUUUGCUCGCGGCGAUAUUAUUGCGAUAAAAUAAUCGCCGCGAUACCGCGACGACCCGCGGCGAGCUCGUUGCGUGCACGCCGCGAUCUCGCAUCGCCGAAAAGAAUCGCUAGUGUGAACAGGCUCUAAUAGGGCCCCAUACUUUACAAGUUGAAUGUAGAAAUGAUAAGUAUAAGGGACGUCGACGCUGAAAAGACGCCUGAACGGGUAGCAUGAUCGCGCGAAAAGUGAUAAAACAUCUCCCUAUCGCACUAUUAGUAAGUGCGAUAGGGACGGAUGUUUUAUCGCGCGAUCAUGCUACCAAUGCAGAUGUGAGGGGCCGUAAUGUGUAAGUGUAAUUUCUACGGACCAAUGAUUGUGAUGAUUAUAUUAAAAUAAAUGUCAUUUUUCUCUGUA